rnacentral:lncRNA from 1 species
GCACGUUUGCUUGAUUAACUUAGGAGUCGUCUGUUUGCCACCGCUUUGUACAUAAACAGUUUUAGCCUGUCUGACUGGGCCGCUGUACGAUACAUAUCGAUUAAUAAGACCGACUAUCGUCCUGUGUUGUUCACAAGGUAACCAAACGGAUAUUUAUUAUGACGCCACUGCCCCUGAGUGUGAUUUUCACGUGCCUGGUUUCACGAAUCGCGGCAUGUGAUCAGGAAGUACCACGUAUUUGUGAGGAGGGCCAACUAGUUCCGCAAGCAUAUUGCGAUGGUGCUGAAAGGGAUACCAUAUGGACGUGUAAACGCGGAAGUAGUGGACGGUGUGCGUGUCCUGAUGGCCUAAUGAGAUCAAUAAGCAGAAAGUGCGUAAAAGAGGCUCAAUGUGAAGCUAACAAGGCAAAAGCUUCAAGUUCGUCACGAAAGAAGCCGCUGAAGUACACAUACGAAGUACCCGAGGAACUAACAGAUAGAGGAGAAGCCUUGCGUAAGGUUUUAG